UUGGAUCCAGUCGCCGGAGCCAUUAUUACGGAACGCAGUAUCUUUCGGCUUUGGCUUGAUUACGUCACAUUCAUGAUCAUAAACUUUUUCUUGCGGGAGCCUUUUAAAAUCCUCGGUUUAAAAAAAGUGACAAAUUCGGCUCUUUUGAGGACAUUUAUUAGACUAGCCUAACAUUAAACAACAGUCUUCGCAUGGGACGCCAUACGGAAACUUUUCCUUCACAUGAUAUCACCAUCACCAACUGAGAAGGCAAACAAAUUUCAUCAAUGAAAUUGAAAUAUCACGAUAUUAAUUAGGAUGACAAGUCCGUAUGCAGUAGUAAUUUUUGAGUCUGAAGGCGAAGAGACUGUGGAGGUUGUUUCUGCAUCGUGGCUUGAAACAAAAAAAUCUUAUUCAAUUUGAGUCGGGUAGCGUGGCCCAGCCGGUUGCAACUGCAUGGGGCGCUGUCAAGGAGACGCAUCAUAAACAUUUAGUGCAUUGCAUCAGGACCCUAGAGUCAAUCAUUCGACCCAUGGCAGCUCUCGAGAGAAGACAAGAAAUGGUGAGUGAUCUGAGUGUAAAUAAUUUGCCAUGUAAUCUGUACUGACUAUCACUAUACAGUCGUUUGACCAGUUAAAGGAACACGUU